GCGGUGGUCCCACCUGACCCCAUGCCGAACUCAGAAGUGAAACGCCGUAGCGCCGAUGGUAGUGUGGGGUCUCCCCAUGUGAGAGUAGGGAACUGCCAGGCA
rnacentral:rRNA from 3 species